GGGAAUUUUUUCGCAAUGGGCGAAAGCCUGACGGAGCAAUACCGCGUGAGGGAGGAAGGCUCUUGGGUCGUAAACCUCUUUUCUCAGGGAAGAACACAAUGACGGUACCUGAGGAAUAAGCAUCGGCUAACUCCGUGCCAGCAGCCGCGGUAAUACGGAGGAUGCAAGCGUUAUCCGGAAUGAUUGGGCGUAAAGCGUCCGCAGGUGGCGAUGUAAGUCUGCUGUUAAAGAGUCUAGCUCAACUAGAUAAGAGCAGUGGAAACUACAUAGCUAGAGUACGUUCGGGGCAGAGGGAAUUCCUGGUGUAGCGGUGAAAUGCGUAGAGAUCAGGAAGAACACCAGUGGCGAAGGCGUCUCUGCUAGGCCGUAA
rnacentral:rRNA from 1 species